GGUUUCCUCCACCCCCCCCCACUCCACCCCCCACCCGGUGUCUCUUGCCUUUUCGAGCCGGGCAGCGCAGUUGUUUCGCCACAGCUUGCGGGAUGCAUUCGUCCCCCACGCCCCGGGCGCCAUGGAAACCGCCCGGUUAACCCCCACCCCUUGCACUGUCCCUCAAAUUCAUUUGCCACCCGCUGUCGGUGGACCCUGCAAGAAUAUCCGCCUUUCCGAGGAAGCUGCUGAAGGAUGUGCUCCACCAAAACAAGGAAGGAAACCUAGAGAGGAGUCUUGCUCUGUCGCCUAGGCUGGAGUGCAGUGGCGCGAUCUCGGCUCAUUGCAACCU